rnacentral:rRNA from 1 species
AGAGUUUGAUCAUGGCUCAGAUUGAACGCUGGCGGCAGGCCUAACACAUGCAAGUCGAACGGUAACAGGAAACAGCUUGCUGUUUCGCUGACGAGUGGCGGACGGGUGAGUAAUGUCUGGGAAACUGCCUGAUGGAGGGGGAUAACUACUGGAAACGGUAGCUAAUACCGCAUAACGUCGCAAGACCAAAGAGGGGGACCUUCGGGCCUCUUGCCAUCAGAUGUGCCCAGAUGGGAUUAGCUAGUAGGUGGGGUAACGGCUCACCUAGGCGACGAUCCCUAGCUGGUCUGAGAGGAUGACCAGCCACACUGGAACUGAGACACGGUCCAGACUCCUACGGGAGGCAGCAGUGGGGAAUAUUGCACAAUGGGCGCAAGCCUGAUGCAGCCAUGCCGCGUGUAUGAAGAAGGCCUUCGGGUUGUAAAGUACUUUCAGCGGGGAGGAAGGGAGUAAAGUUAAUACCUUUGCUCAUUGACGUUACCCGCAGAAGAAGCACCGGCUAACUCCGUGCCAGCAGCCGCGGUAAUACGGAGGGUGCAAGCGUUAAUCGGAAUUACUGGGCGUAAAGCGCACGCAGGCGGUUUGUUAAGUCAGAUGUGAAAUCCCCGGGCUCAACCUGGGAACUGCAUCUGAUACUGGCAAGCUUGAGUCUCGUAGAGGGGGGUAGAAUUCCAGGUGUAGCGGUGAAAUGCGUAGAGAUCUGGAGGAAUACCGGUGGCGAAGGCGGCCCCCUGGACGAAGACUGACGCUCAGGUGCGAAAGCGUGGGGAGCAAACAGGAUUAGAUACCCUGGUAGUCCACGCCGUAAACGAUGUCGACUUGGAGGUUGUGCCCUUGAGGCGUGGCUUCCGGAGCUAACGCGUUAAGUCGACCGCCUGGGGAGUACGGCCGCAAGGUUAAAACUCAAGUGAAUUGACGGGGGCCCGCACAAGCGGUGGAGCAUGUGGUUUAAUUCGAUGCAACGCGAAGAACCUUACCUGGUCUUGACAUCCACGGAAGUUUUCAGAGAUGAGAAUGUGCCUUCGGGAACCGUGAGACAGGUGCUGCAUGGCUGUCGUCAGCUCGUGUUGUGAAAUGUUGGGUUAAGUCCCGCAACGAGCGCAACCCUUAUCCUUUGUUGCCAGCGGUCCGGCCGGGAACUCAAAGGAGACUGCCAGUGAUAAACUGGAGGAAGGUGGGGAUGACGUCAAGUCAUCAUGGCCCUUACGACCAGGGCUACACACGUGCUACAAUGGCGCAUACAAAGAGAAGCGACCUCGCGAGAGCAAGCGGACCUCAUAAAGUGCGUCGUAGUCCGGAUUGGAGUCUGCAACUCGACUCCAUGAAGUCGGAAUCGCUAGUAAUCGUGGAUCAGAAUGCCACGGUGAAUACGUUCCCGGGCCUUGUACACACCGCCCGUCACACCAUGGGAGUGGGUUGCAAAAGAAGUAGGUAGCUUAACCUUCGGGAGGGCGCUUACCACUUUGUGAUUCAUGACUGGGGUGAAGUCGUAACAAGGUAACCGUAGGGGAACCUGCGGUUG